rnacentral:lncRNA from 1 species
UGAAAAUCAACAGUUUGAUUUGUUUCCACCGUUACCAUGACGUUAUUGGGACACUGUGUUUCUUUAAGUGAUUCUCACUUUCUUUCAUGUGCUGUCAUCUUAGGGUCUUGGAGUUCGUGCUGAACAGGAACAGACAGUUUCGGUUGCAUCCCCUUCUUUCAUUUCGCCUGGUGUUCUUUGGUUUAACACAUCUAAAUAAUGCUCUAAGCACAAACUGAGUGACCUCUGGAUUUUGCCAGCUUUGUCAGAGCAACCCAUUUAUGCAAUGCUGUACACCUGGUUUUUUUUUGGUUUGUUUUUUUUUUUUUUUGCUUUCAGUGACCAUUUCAAUAGUACUCUGUGUCACCAACAUGCAAGUCAGAACUUUAUUAAAUUAUUUCAUUUUCAGGAAGGUGAGGGCAAAACUUUAUGAGCAUUAAAUUCACUUCGAAAAUUUGUGUUUUAACGUAGGAGUAAGAGAGAAGUAGAUAUCCUCGUUUACCGAGGGAUGACACUGAUGAUCUGCAUCCAAGAAACUCUCCCAAAGCAACAAGUCACACCACACAAAACAUGUAUUGGAAGCAGGCAGCCACACCCUGUCAUAGGCUUGCAAUAGUUUGAGAAAACAAAUAUGGACUUUCCCGAGGAACAUGUAUUCCUGAAAGAAAGAAAGCACUGAUCUGAACUGACAUACUAUCUGAAAUAUUUCAUCUGAAACAACGCAUCUACUCUCUUGCAGUUUAGAAGAUGAAAAGCAGGCAAAGUAGAUUUCAUCCAGGACUUUGCACUGCAGCCCAGGACUUCUCACAUUACUUAUGGUACAAACCAUCGGUUCCUGUAUAGGGAAUGUGUUCCCAUAUGGUGCUGUCUGUCAGAAAGCUUUUGUGGUGUUCUUCAUUUGCCUUCCACUCUGCCUUAGCAGGCCGAGUUGUACAAAACUUGUGAAAAUGAUGUAAAAUGAGAAUGGC